rnacentral:rRNA from 1 species
UACAGAGGGGGCAAGCGUUGUCCGGAAUCAUUGGGUACGUAAGCGCGUGUGAGCGGCCCGGUAAGUCCGCUGUGAAAGUCGGGGGCUCAACCCUCGAAUGCCGGUGGAUACUGUCGGGCUAGAGUGCGGAAGAGGCGAGUGGAAUUCCUGGUGUAGCGGUGAAAUGCGCAGAUAUCAGGAGGAACACCGAUGGCGAAGGCAGCUCGCUGGGACGUUACUGACGCUGAGACGCGAAAGCGUGGGGAGCAAACAGG